GGCCUUCGGGCAUGUGCACGCUGACCGUGUUUCAACAAUUUCUCACCUGUGAACCUAAUGWAGGAUGCCUCUCCUCCGGGAGGGGGGACCUAUGUCUUCAUAUACAUCUUCGUGUAGAAAGUCUUAGAAUGUUUACUAUCAGAGAGUCGCGACUUCUAGGAGACGCGAAACUCUUGAGAUAAAAGUUAUUACAACUUUCAGCAAUGGAUCUCUUGGCUCUCGCAUCGAUGAAGAACGCAGCGAAAAGCGAUAUGUAAUGUGAAUUGCAGAUCUACAGUGAAUCAUCGAAUCUUUGAACGCACCUUGCGCUCCUCGGUGUUCCGAGGAGCAUGCCUGUUUGAGUGUCAGUAAAUUCUCAACCCCUCUUGAUUUWUUUUUGAGGGAGUUUGGAUAGUGGGGGUUGCCGGAGACUAAUAAGACUCGGGCUCUCCUGAAAUGCAUUGGCUUGCGAUAGACUUUCGACUUUGCGCGACAAGGCUUUCGGCGUGAUAAUGAUCGCCGUUCGCUGAAGCGCAUGAAUGAAGGUUUCGCGCCUCUAAUAUGUCGACUCUUAUUAUCUCUUCGGAGAGAAAAGGUCUUCUUUAUUGACUUUGACCUCAAAUCA
rnacentral:rRNA from 1 species